rnacentral:rRNA from 1 species
CCAAUAGCGUAUAUUAAAGUUGCUGCAGUUAAAAAGCUCGUAGUUGAAUUUCGGGACUAAUAUGUCGGUCGUGCCUCGGUACGUACUGGCUUAUUGGUUUCUCCUUUCUGAAGAACCAUGAUGUCAUUUAUUUGGUGUCGUGGGGAAUCAGGACUGUUACUUUGAAAAAAUUAGAGUGUUUAAAGCAGGCUUACGCUUGAAUACAUUAGCAUGGAAUAAUGAAAUAGGACGUUUGAUUCUAUUUUGUUGGUUUCUAGGAUCGACGUAAUGAUUAAUAGGGAUAGUUGGGGGCAUUAGUAUUCAAUUGUCAGAGGUGAAAUUCUUGGAUUUAUUGAAGACUAACUUCUGCGAAAGCAUUUGCCAAGGAUGUUUUCAUUAAUCAAGAACGAAAGUUAGGGGAUCGAAGACGAUCAGAUACCGUCGUAGUCUUAACCAUAAACUAUGCCGACUAGGGAUCAGACUGUCGUUAAAUUACUGACGCGUUUGGCACCUUAUG